UUACGGUCAUAUCAUGUUGAAACUUUGGUUCCCAUAUGAUCACCAAAUUAAGCAACACUGAAUCUGGUCAGUACCUAGAUGGGUGACUACUUGGGAAUACCAAGUGCUGUCAG